GGACCCCAGAAACAGAGUUCCACAAAGCGGAAGUUUUGUGGGCGCAUUCCUCCUGCCGGCGGGAGGGGGCGGUGAAGGAACGUUACAAGGCCCGGCAAUCCCCAAGCCUGCUUCACCGGCUCACCUGAUGCGCCCCUGACAUGCUUCACACACGGCCUGGAGUCAACGUCUGUCCCUGGGAUGACAGAUCCAAGGCCACAUCCGCGCCCCGCCACUGCUCUUGUCCAGGCUGGAAUCUCAGAACCGCACUGCCUCUCAGGCUGAUCAGAGCUGCGGCUGGCAUGUCCGAAGCAAUGGUGGAGCGUGUCCAGUAAAUAAACACCAACGACCUCCAAGAUACUCGGAUCGAGGCAUCGAUGCCUGA
rnacentral:lncRNA from 1 species